UGAAAUCACAUUCCCAAACUGCUUCCAUGGAGAAGUGUGUUGCUACCACUGACAGUAUAGAUGCAGCUACUUAACACGACCAUCACUGCGAUGCAGACAGCUGUGGAUGGAGCCUCUGCUGGGCGGCAUCUGGAGGGUGGGAGCUGGCCCACCCCUACUCAAGGAGUGGAGUCUGUACAGCCUAGAUGACUAAGGUGUCCAGUUGGAGGAAUGAAAACUGGUAAAAGACCACUGUAAGGGAAGAAAAGGCGUUGGUUUACUUAUAAGGAGAUCUGAACAAGAAGCCAUUCUGGUGUGGUCCUGAAGGACAGUAGUGGAAGAAAAUAUUCCCACUGGGCAGAGCUUCACACAGGGCAACUGACUGUUCAUUUGCCCAAAGUUAGAGAUGACCAGAGCAAAUGGAGUACAGCAGUGAGCUCGCGCUCAUGGGAAUCACAUCAUCUUGAUUACUGCAGCUUUCUUGGAAGUCUUGAAAUCAGGUAAAGUCCUCCUGCUUUGUUCCUCUCUUAAAAUUUUUUCUGGCUACUCUAGAUUCUUUGCGUUUUCUUACAACUUUUAAAAUAAGCUUGUCAAUUUCUAUUAAAAUACCUGUGGGGAUUUGAAUGGGAUCAUUUUGAAUCUGCAGAUGAAUUUAAAGCAAACUGAUAUCUUAACAAUAUUGAGUUUUUCAACCCGUGCACAUGGCAUAUCCCUCCGUUUAUUUAAGCCUUCUUUACUUUUUCUUAGCAAUGGCUUGCUGUUUUUUGGGUAUACCGGUCUUGUGAACCUGUUUUGUUAAGCACAUUCCUAAUUAUGAUGUGGUUUGUGAUUCUGUUGCUACUGCGGCUUUAGACUUGACUUCCACAAGGGCUAUGACUUCCAUUUGGACUGACAUUGGUGUUGCUUUGGCUCUGGCUCCUGCUAAACCUCUCUGGCUGACUGUGCUGUGUCCUGCUCUUUUGCUUCUUCCAUCACUUUAUUGUUCGGUUCUUUAGAUAUUUUUCCUGAAAUUUCCCCUUUUCUUACAGAUGUGUUACUUUCACUAUCAACUUCAUUGUAGUCUGGUUCAAAAGCAGCUUCAUCAGUCUCUCUAGUUAAG